AAGAGAAAAAAAAAACUCACAACUGACAUAAGAUAAUUGCUAUUCCAAAAUGAUGCCGAACUAUUGACGUUGAUCCCCCAUUAUGUAAAACUGGUAUGACGAUGAUCCUCCAUGAUAUAAAACUGGAAUUUGUGGUGAUCCCCCAUGAUAUAAAACUGGAAUUAGUAUUGAUCCUACAUGAUGUAAAAUUGGAAUGGAUGUUGAUAUUGUUGACUUAUUGUUUUUUUUAAUAAUUGUGCUUGUUUAUGGUUGAUAUUCUUUGUGAUUGUAUUACUUACCCCUUGUUGUUUCCCUUUUCUGGCUUGACCCUACGGUGUGCAACCGUAGAUUUUCAGGUAGGUGAGAGCAGCACUAGACCUAGUUCGGCGACGGCGUUAGAGAGCUGUCUACUUUAUUGCUUUAGUCUAUGAGUCGUUUUGUUAGGAAGUUCUAUGGGGGAACUAUAAAUGUCAAUUCAAUUAUUGUAUUGCUUUGAGAAUUUUAAAAAUUGGAUUAUGUCGUUUCCUUUUAAAACUUUGUUGAUUUGGAAUU